rnacentral:rRNA from 1 species
UGGGGAAUAUUGCACAAUGGGGGAAACCCUGAUGCAGCGACGCCGCGUGAAGGAAGAAGUAUUUCGGUAUGUAAACUUCUAUCAGCAGGGAAGAAGAUGACGGUACCUGAGUAAGAAGCACCGGCUAAAUACGUGCCAGCAGCCGCGGUAAUACGUAUGGUGCAAGCGUUAUCCGGAUUUACUGGGUGUAAAGGGAGCGUAGACGGAUAGGCAAGUCUGGAGUGAAAACCCAGGGCUCAACCCUGGGACUGCUUUGGAAACUGCAGAUCUGGAGUGCCGGAGAGGUAAGCGGAAUUCCUAGUGUAGCGGUGAAAUGCGUAGAUAUUAGGAGGAACACCAGUGACGAAGGCGGCUUACUGGACGGUGACUGACGUUGAGGCUCGAAAGCGUGGGGAGCAAACAGG